CACGUAGGGGGCAAGCGUUGUCCGGAUUUAUUGGGCGUAAAGAGCGUGUAGGCGGCCAGACAGGUCCGUUGUGAAAACUCGAGCUCAACCUCGAGACGCCGAUGGAAACCGUUUGGCUAGAGUCCGGAAGAGGAGAGUGGAAUUCCUGGUGUAGCGGUGAAAUGCGCAGAUAUCAGGAAGAACACCCGUGGCUAAGGCGGCUCUCUAGUACGGUACUGACGCUGAGACGCGAAAGCGUGGGGAGCGAACAGG
rnacentral:rRNA from 1 species